AAACUGACUUUUGGAGCCGGGUCCAGUGGGAUGGGAACCAGAGCAGCACUCGGUACAGAGAGCAAACUCUUAAUCAGCCAUGCCUGAGGGCAGCGGGUCUUACCCCAGGCUGACCAGUCAGUCACUUGAGAAGCUUCCAAAACAUGCGGAUUCCCACUAGGAGCUGGGGUGGAUCCCAGGCAGCCGAGCUGGCUAAUCAGUGUUACUUGCUAUCAAGAGCUGGAGGCACUGGACUUCUAUUGCUUUUGAGUCCCUGCAGGUCCUGAAUACACACAGAAGAACCCACUGUUGCCCCCAAAGGGCUCUCAGCCUGUAGGAGGAGGUGGAUAUGUAAGCAAAUACGUGUAAUGUGGAGUGGAGCCACGUGACCUGUUCGGACCAAUAGCGUGAGCACAGAUGCUGUGCGUCAUAUCCAUGCCCAAUUGCCCUGUGGAGCCCCUCCAGAACCCCCAUCUCCUGGCGUGUCUCAGAGAGGCUGAGCAGAAGUCCCCUGACUACCCGGGUGCCCAGACAGGAAACGUAUCGAGUUGUCCAUUCGGGAUAAUCAAGAAGUAAAGUUGAGGGGCGCCCGGGUGGCUCAGUUGGUUAAGCGUCCGACUUCGGCUCAGGUCAUGA